rnacentral:rRNA from 1 species
GUCGGGAAUUUUGGGCAAUGGGCGAAAGCCUGACCCAGCAACGCCGCGUGAAGGAUGAAAUCCCUCGGGAUGUAAACUUCGCAAGAAUGGGAAGAAGGGUAGAGGGUGAUAACCCCUUUGCUUUGACGGUACCAUUUGUAAGCUCCGGCUAACUCCGUGCCAGCAGCCGCGGUAAUACGGGGGGAGCAAGCGUUGUUCGGAUUUACUGGGCGUAAAGGGCGCGUAGGCGGCCACGACAAGUCAGUUGUGAAAUCUCUGGGCUUAACUCAGAACGGUCAACUGAUACUGUCGGGCUAGAGUGCAGAAGGGGCAACUGGAAUUCUCGGUGUAGCGGUGAAAUGCGUAGAUAUCGAGAGGAACACCUGCGGCGAAGGCGGGUUGCUGGGCUGACACUGACGCUGAGGCGCGAAAGCUAGGGGAGCGAACGGG